UGGGAGAUGGGUGGGGGGCUUUGAGUGGUGGGGCCACUCACGUGUCGUUUCUCCUGGGGUUGGUGUAGGACCUUCUAUUUCACAAAUGUGGUGAGAAGAGAAAAACUACCGUUACUGUAAAGUUGGUUGGUCUAAGAUGAAUGCCAUUUUAGGAGAAAACUCCUGCGGUUAGUGUUCCCAUUUGGUUUGAAACGUGAGGCCCGGACAGAGCCAGGUCCACUGGCCUUCACCCUGUCGGACCCCACAGCUUCUCCUUCUCGGACACACUUGGUAAAAUCCCCUUUACCGUCCCGAAGGGAAAGGAAAUGUAUCUACACACAGAAUUCCCUCCCCGAAGUUAAUAUAAUGCCCGAUUUGUAAUAGAAAAGAGCCAUGAAAAUAAUUUAUGAUAAAAGGAUGUGUGUCUAGGCGUGACCACGCGGGGAUGUACCUGAAGAGACCGGAUGUGUGCUCUGGGCUCUCGUGAGUAAGUGUGGAUUCAACAGAAAUAAGACAAUAAUCAAUGGAAGAUGGGGGAAGCUUCCUUCACAGUUACUAAGUUGAAGUAAGAGUCAACUAAGAAUGUGUGUCUAUUUAAAACGAAGAAUCAUCUAGAAAUGCAGACAGACAGAGGUGGCUUCCGUGGUUCCUCCUGUACCUCCAGCAGCUUUGCUGUCAGUGCAGUAUUUUUUUCUGAAACGGUGAUUCAGAUCCUGGUAAAGUUCCAAACAAAACAAAAUGCAAUCUUCUCUAAAUUUACUCAGGAGUUAUGUUCUGGGAAACUCAGUGUGUAUUAAACUGCAAAAAAAUACUUUGUGUUUGUGUGUAAAGCGGAGCUAGGCUCUAGGGGAAAUCAUUAUAAACAGGUUUUUCACCUACGUGGAUGUCUGAUGGGUCAUCCAAAAGGUGUAUGGAGCAAUAAAUCAAAAACUGAAAGGUAAGACCAUACAGUUUCUAGAAUAAAGCAAAGACGUAAGCAAAGAUUAGUCAGGACCAAAAACUAUUAGCCUUAAAGGAAAAGUUGAUGAAUUUUACUCUCUUGAGAUUCUGUUUCAUCAAAUGAUACCUUUAGGAGAGAGAAAAGACAAGUCGCAGAGUGAGAGAAGAUAGUCGUAGUCCUAAUAUUCACCAGAGAAGUCACAUCCAGGCUACGUAAAGACCUGUAGUCAAAUGUCUCAGCAGAAAACUGGGCAGAAGAUUUGAGCAGACACUUCACGAAAGAGGAACUCCCAACGGCCUGUGACCACAGUGUGAGGCCACGGCACACCCUCCAGAAUGGCUGGCAUGAAACGGACAGACAACACUAAGUGCUGAAACACAGACGUCUGUGAAUCAAGAACUGUGUGCAGGAAUGUUGGAGGUGGCGCCAGCCCUGACAGCUGCAAACUGGAAACAGCCCACAUGCCCAUCAAGAGCUGUACGCAGCACCGUGGGGCCCUCUCCUGAACACGAUGGCGAGGGAAAGAAGCCAGACAAAGGGCACACGUGGCUUGAUGCAAUUUCUGGGAGGUUCAAGACAAAAGGAAUUCCUGGUGUUAGGAGUCAGGGUGGUGGUGAUCCCUGGUGGGGGGUAGUGGCCAAAAGGGGGUCUGAGGGGGCUUUGGGGGUUCUGAUAAUCUUCUGGUUUUGGUCUGGGUGCUGGUGACAUGCGUGUGUUCA
ensembl:lncRNA